rnacentral:rRNA from 1 species
GACGUAGGGCGCGAGCGUUGUCCGGAUUUAUUGGGCGUAAAGAGCUCGUAGGCGGCUUGUCGCGUCGACUGUGAAAUCCCGCGGCUCAACUGCGGGUCUGCAGUUGAUACGGACAGGCUAGAGUUCGGUAGGGGAGACUGGAAUUCCUGGUGUAGCGGUGAAAUGCGCAGAUAUCAGGAGGAACACCGGUGGCGAAGGCGGGUCUCUGGGCCGAUACUGACGCUGAGGAGCGAAAGCGUGGGGGAGCGAACAGG